UAGUAACGAGCUUGUGAAGCAAGCAGAGCAGGUGGUAGAGACCUGCUUUUUAGAUGGAGAAACUAAGGUUCAGAAGGAGUUCAUGAGUUGGCCUAAAUUCAGAGCUGAAACCAGGUGUUUCUGAUGCUGGUUCUGCUUCUCUUUUGCCAUACUGCUUUUCAUGUCAUGUUUUCUGGCAUUUUGGUAAUGACGUUAUGCUUGAACACUUGCUGAAUAUUAACCUCUUUUGGUUUGGGAUAUUAGCAUUUAGAUAUUUACAAAUUAACAUAUUUGGAUUUUUUCUUUUUAAACCAUCCAGUUCUUCAGUUUCCCUGCUGUAGUCGCUCCAUUCAAAUGUUCCGUCCUCCCACUGAGCCAAAACCAGGAGUUCAUGCCAUUUGUCAAGGAAUUAUCGGAAGCCCUGACCAGGCACGGAGUGUCUCACAAAGUAGACGAUUCCUCUGGGUCAAUCGGAAGGCGCUAUGCCAGGACUGAUGAGAUUGGCGUGGCUUUUGGUGUCACCAUUGACUUUGACACAGUGAACAAGACCCCCCACACUGCAACUCUGAGGGACCGUGACUCAAUGCGGCAGAUAAGAGCAGAGGUCUCUGAGCUGCCCAGCAUAGUCCGAGACCUAGCCAAUGGCAACAUCACGUGGGCCGAUGUGGAGGCCAGGUAUCCUCUGUUUGAAGGGCAAGAGACUGGUAAAAAAGAGACAAUCGAGGAAUGAGGACAAUUUUGACAACUUUUGACCACUUGCGCUAAUAAAAAAAAAAACAA
rnacentral:sRNA from 1 species